CACGGGGGGAGCAAGCGUUGUUCGGAAUCACUGGGCGUAAAGGGUGCGUAGGCGGCGCGGUAAGUCGGGUGUGAAAUCUUGGAGCUUAACUCCGAAACUGCAUUCGAUACUGCCGUGCUUGAGGACUGGAGAGGAGACUGGAAUUUACGGUGUAGCGGUGAAAUGCGUAGAUAUCGUAAGGAAGACCAGUGGCGAAGGCGGGUCUCUGGACAGUUCCUGACGCUGAGGCACGAAGGUCAGGGGAGCAAACGGG
rnacentral:rRNA from 1 species